AUUGAACGCUGGCGGCAGGCUUAACACAUGCAAGUCGAGCGGGGUGAUGGUGCUUGCACUAUCACUUAGCGGCGGACGGGUGAGUAAUGCUUAGGAAUCUGCCUAUUAGUGGGGGACAACAUCUCGAAAGGGAUGCUAAUACCGCAUACGUCCUACGGGGGAAAGCAGGGGAUCACUUGUGACCUUGCGCUAAUAGAUGAGCCUAAGUCGGAUUAGCUAGUUGGUGGGGUAAAGGCCUACCAAGGCGACGAUCUGUAGCGGGUCUGAGAGGAUGAUCCGCCACACUGGGACUGAGACACGGCCCAGACUCCUACGGGAGGCAGCAGUGGGGAAUAUUGGACAAUGGGGGGAACCCUGAUCCAGCCAUGCCGCGUGUGAGAAGAAGGCCUUAUGGUUGUAAAGCACUUUAAGCGAGGAGGAGGCUCUUUUGGUUAAUACCCAGAAUGAGUGGACGUUACUCGCAGAAUAAGCACCGGCUAACUCUGUGCCAGCAGCCGCCGUAA
rnacentral:rRNA from 1 species